rnacentral:rRNA from 1 species
GUGGGGAAUAUUGGACAAUGGGCGCAAGCCUGAUCCAGCAAUGCCGCGUGAGUGAUGAAGGCCUUAGGGUUGUAAAGCUCUUUUACCCGGGAAGAUAAUGACUGUACCGGGAGAAUAAGCCCCGGCUAACUCCGUGCCAGCAGCCGCGGUAAUACGGAGGGGGCUAGCGUUGUUCGGAAUUACUGGGCGUAAAGCGUACGUAGGCGGUUUUGUAAGUUAGAGGUGAAAGCCCGGAGCUCAACUCCGGAACUGCCUUUAAGACUGCAUCACUUGAACGUCGGAGAGGUGAGUGGAAUUCCGAGUGUGGAGGUGAAAUUCGUAGAUAUUCGGAAGAACACCAGUGGCGAAGGCGGCUCACUGGACGACUGUUGACGCUGAGGUACGAAAGCGUGGGGAGCAAACAGGAUUAGAAACCCGGGUAGUCC